GAGAGGGGAACAGCAUUCGAGGCACACUGGCACUUCUUUUUCACACCUGCAGAGAAACUGCUGUGUCUGCAAUCUCAUUUGCUUUUUCCAGUCUCAGGCAUACAGCAUAAUUUAAAAAAAAAAAAAUUAUUAUAUGUAAAAUUUAAUUUAUGUUUGGAAGUCUGGAACAGGCUUCAAAACUGAACGGGCGUAUCCUAAUUCUGUCCUAAGAGAAUGUGUUACCACCACGCUUGACUUGGAAUUAACCGUGGAAAGGAGACAGGACAAAGAUACUACUGCAGUUGGAACGUGCUACAGCCCGACGUUCCGUGUCAUCCAUUCCUGGUCUCUUGGUAUUCUGGUCUCUUGGUAUUGGCCUCUGGAAUACCUGAGAGGUUUUAGGAUUCUAUGAACACUGCACCCCUCUCUGGAAUAGCCGCUGUUCUGAAGGAGUAAAGCAACGAUGCAGACUGGUUACUGCCGUCAGCAGAGAAUACCAGAACUGUUAAUGACAAAGAGGAGCAAGAAACUCAUUCUUCAGCUUUUCUUCUUUCCAGCAAGUUCAGUCAGAGCAAAUUCUUUGGCAAAAAAAGAUCCAAGAGUAACAUACAGCAACUGGACUCUGUACAAGAAAUCUAUUAUACUGCCUGCUCACAAGUUGAGUAUAUUGCUGAUUUCAGAAAUAUCAGAAUGCCUAACUCUGGAUGCCUCAGGAAUAAACAAGAAUAAAUUUGUAUUCUACUAUGCUUGA